rnacentral:lncRNA from 1 species
CCCGAUAACAAGCUAGUUCUGCUGUUUUAUUGCAAACAGAAUAAGUCACACUAAACAACAAACUAGCUCUGCUACUUUAUUAUCAUUGCAGUCAACAAAAAACCAUCACCUUCACUAGAUGGUGCCCCUCUCAUGGUACUGCUUUUUGUUCUGAGUUAGACAUAUCAGAGGUUUUCUGCUUCAGGGUCUGAAGAAAUUUUCACAGCUUUGAAGGAGACUGGUACCAGCCCCAUGGUUCAUUGGAGAGGUACUGAGUGACCUGCUUCACACUUAAGUAAUUAUCAAGUCCCCUGUGUUGGAAGGAUAGAAGAAAGGAAGAUUAUCGUUAGCAUGUUCAGAAAACAGUGCUGAAUGCAGCAUCAUAAGAUAAUACAAACAUCUUUGGAUCCAUGAUAGAGUUCAUAUGUUCAACUCAAUUUUUUUUUUUUUUUUGGUGCUCAUGUGUCUGACAAAAUUUGCAACAUGUCAUCAUAUAGUUUGAAAAUGUUCAACCAAACAUAUAUACUUUUAUAAAAAAUAAACAUGUGUUAUAGAUGAAGAAAUUUUAUAUACGAGGUUGAGAGGUAAAUGGAUGCUUUAACGAUUUGGUAACUGACAGCCCUUGUUCAAGAAAUAUUUUGAACCUGUCUACUUUACACUUCUGAUCCAGGGAAAUCAGGACAUACCGUGGCCCUAGUUCACGCCCAAAACCACUACGCUUGUUUCCUCCCCAUGGAGCUUGACAGAAGCAUGGCUGUGAGCAGUUGAUCCAUACAAUCCCUGCAUUAAGGGCCUGCAGAGAAGCAAAAAGAAAGAUAUAUAGUUGACAUUUCCAGAACUACAUGAUCUCCAAUACUUGCUGUCUUCAUGAUUAUUCAGGGAUGGGUGACUACUCAUGAUAUAAAUACAAUAAAAUCUCACCUUUGACACACGUUCACACCUCUCCAGAUCAUUUGAAAUUACAGCACCUGCUAAGCCAUACCUGUGAAAGAUAACCACAUUGUUGCUGGAUAAACCAGAAAAAGAAGGCAAGAAACACAACCCAAACAGGUUCUCAGAUAAAACUUAAUUUUCAACAAACAAAUCAACUCACUGGGUGUCAUUUGCUAGUUCAAUGGCUUCAUCUUCGGAGCUAAAUGUUUUAACACAAAGGACAGGCCCGAAAACCUCCUCUCUCCAAAUUUGCAUGGAAGUAGUCACAUCACUUAUAAUGGUUGGUUCAAUGUAGAACCCCAUCUUCAAAUGCUGCCAUUAUUUAUAAAGUAAUAUAACGUUAACAACAAAUUCAGAAAGAAGCAAAGCUGAUGUUGACAAGAAAAACAUUCUACCUGGGGACGACCCCCACCACACAAUAUUGUUGCACCCUCACUCUUAGCUGUUGAAACCAACUUCAAUAUCUUCUCAUACUGCAGCAAAUGAAAUAAAUAGUAAAUACUUUCACAUCCUAACUCCAUCAAAAAAAAUUAAUGCAGAAUAUUGUUAAUCCAGAUAGGGAUCAUGUGAGACAUUCAUGACCAUCAAACUGAAACUGCAUGCAACAGUUAUUUGGUGAGUUGGGAAACUUAGGCAGUCAGCACAGUAAGUUUUACAGGUGGAAAUAUCAAGAGGCGCAUAGAAUAGACAAUUUUUCGUUAAAUUGAUUUAAAAAAAAAAUCCAUCAAGCUUUCAACAUAAAAAUCAUCCCAAUUCCAGAUACUUAGAGCAAGAUGUGGGAUCUUUUAGUAGCAUAGUCUUUCCAUACCAUGUAAUCCAUUACAGGGAAGUACAAACGGAUAUAUCAUCCUGGUAUAGCCUCAGCCAAAGAUAUUCAAGUUAUAUUUAAAAUGUUGAAAGAAUAAUUAAGGCUGGGUAAUUCUUGACUUAUGACUUUGUAACCACAUUGCUUAUUGCCUUUACCCAAGCACAACCAGAUAAAACACAUUAGUGAUGGUCUACUUAUUCAAUGAAAGAAAUAUAAAAUUUAGUGACAUAUUAAUCCAUUAGGUGAAAUUAAUAGAAAGAAAAGCAUCAGGAGAAAAUAAUACAGAAUGGAGUACAACCCCUCCAGUUAUCAACAAUUUCUACGAAUUUUGGAGCAAAGAAGAAACAAAAUAAAAGCAAGAGGAACUGCAGGUAUUGAAUGUAGCAAACUUACCUGCUCUCUACUAACAACAGGACCAAGUCUACAACCUUCUUCAAAGGGAUCUGAAAUCUUGAUAUUUUUAGUCCAUUUCACAAGCUUGUCUAAAAAUUCUGCUGCAAUGCUUUCCUGAAAAUAAUUAUAGGAGCAUAUACCUCUUGAUAAGUAAUGGAAAAUAAAUCAACAGAAUAUAGCUAAAAACUAAAUGUAAAGACAAAUGAAAGAUGAAGCAAGUUUUAUGCUCUUAGUUUGCUUUGUAGCUUGUAAGACUUUAAUCAUCAGAAGGGAUGCUGGAUAAAAUUUCACAAUCUCAUCUUCUAUAUGUACCUAUAAAAAAUUUAAUCCAUUAUACAUUUUAGAAAGAAGGAUAUAGAUGUCAUUCUUCAGAAAAAUUUCAAUGGCAUAAAGCACAUGCAUGGAUGCAUAUGUGAGACAGAUAGAGAGGGAAAGAGAGAUUGAUGGAAUUAUAAAAUUUUACAGUGUAUAUCAUAUCCAUACAUCAUGGGCCAAAUUGAUUGCAAGAAAGGAACUGUGUAAAAGAAAAUUAAGCAAGUGAUAAGCCAAGAUUUUCUGUUUGUCUAAUGCAACAAGAAAUUGAAAGACAUAACAAAAGAAGCACCACUUCCCAGGGCAUGUCUUGCCCAUGUGAAUGUUUUAACACAUUAUUUACUUAUUUUUUCACAAUUCUAACACAUUAUUAAUAAUUAUGGUUAAAACAAUCAAUAAUAACAGACAAAGAUUAAGGUUUUGCAUGCCAGAUCCUGAUGCGUGCCUCAAUAUCAGCCCAAAAAAGCAGCAAAUAAGUUGAUGACAUGUUUAAGGUUUCUAGACUAAGCAUGCAAGUUUAUAUUCACAAUGAAUCACAAUAUCUUUUGAAGAGUCCAGACAACUUCUGUGCUUAAACAAAGGUUCAUGUCCGUCCUGAUAUAUCCUUCUUAAUGCUGGGUAAUUAAAACCAAGCUUACCCAAAAAUGGUGAAAUAAUAGAAAACAAGAGCUAAGGAGCUAGAACAUGUUCAGUAAACAGAAAUGAGAAGGAAAGUAACUGACUACAAAUGGAACUAGUCGUGGAAAUGUCUAGAUAGGAGGUGAUUUUCGAUAUAAUACUUACAUGCACAAGAAGACGAGAUGUUGCACUACAUAUUUGGCCAUUUGUCCAAAAGCAACCAAAGGCAGUCCAUUCAGCAGCUGUUUGAAUGAAUGAUAGGUAAGAGGGAGUAAAUAUAUAAUGACACUAACAUCCCAAAAAACAUUUGUUCUUCCUUCUAUUGUUCAAGGCUUGAAAUGCCAACGAUUCAUUUAAAAUGAAAGAAGUUAAGAACUUAAAAUUGUACUUCAGAAAGCACUAACCCUUGUCAAGGUCGACAUCCUCAAACACAAGAAUGGGACUCUUUCCACCAAGCUCCAAUGAAACAGGCUGCCAAUCAACCACAAAAAAAAUAAAAUAAAAUAAAUAAAUAAAUAAAAAAUCAGAACACUAAGGUAAAAUACUGACAAAAAAUAAAAAGAAAAACAAAAAAAGGGAAAAAGGAAACAAAGAAAACCACAGGUAUUCCCAAUAAGUACUACAGUUAAAUUAUAAUCUAAACAUACCUUCACCAAUUGAGCUGCAGCUGUCAUGAUCUUGCUCCCAGUAACAGUGCUUCCAGUAAAUGCAAUCUGUUGAAAAUUAAUAUGUUUAACAUAAUAUAUGGAAAUUGCUAAGUUUCCAGGUUAUAGAGAACCAUACAGAUUCAUCCAGUUAUUAAUGAAUCUAAGUCAACUGAACCUUGUCAACAUGGGGAUGAGAUGACAAUGGAGCACCAGCUUCAGAGCCCAGUCCAGUCAGAAUAUUAAGGACGCCAGGUGGCAGACCCACCUCUAUACACACAUCAGCCAGCUCUAAACAAGUCCUGGAACAGAAAUAUGUUGAUAGGAGUACAACAAAGAGAACCCAACACAAAAGAACAACGCUAAUAUAAACCAACAAGGACAUACACAGAAGCCAACUCAGAUGGCUUUAGUAUUGCUGUGCAACCAGCAGCUAGGGCAGGAGCCACUUUCCAUGUAGCCAUCAGUAGUGGGUAAUUCCUGAAACAAAGGAGAAAAAAGACCACUAGUUAGUUUUUUAGACAUAAUAUUCCUUGAUAACAAUAAUUCACAAGUACCACAAACACAAAUCAUUCUUGUCAACAACCAAACAACCAUCUUUCACCCUGCCACUGGUUCCAGCUUCCUAACAAUCAAGGUUGGUUGACUAACCUUUUAUUCCACCAUCCAAAUCAAUCAUUAACAAAGUAAGAAGGUUAGUUGAGUAAUCAUUUUGGGACUGCAUACCACCAAUUUUUUUUAAAGCCCUGUAAUUACAAUUAAGUGCAUACAAAAUGAGCUCAAUUCUGCCAGGCCAAUUAUAGGAAAGCAAAAAUGUCCAGGGCCAAGUGCAUCAUAAAUUCAUAACAUGAAGAAACAAGUCAGACUGCUACCUAAUUUAAGAGCAAGACAUCUGUGAUGAGUUGCAAUAAGUGCAAAACAUUUGGAGAAAUGCUUAGAUCAAAGUACCAAUUCAUAAUCCAGAAGAUGUCAAAUUACCCAAAAAAAUUCAUUUUUUAAAUUUCCUUACUGAUGAAAAAUACAUUGUUCAGGGCAACACCAAGUACAUAAAAAAACAAACUAUGCACAUUAAGAACAGGUGAAGUUUAAAACAAAUAUCAAAGCUAGCAACUUUAAGUGGAAAUCAAAUUGAUUGAUGACACAUGUAAAUAAGGUUCUUUUCACUGAUACAAGAGAGCAAUUGAGGAAAGAGUAAAGAUGUGUUUGACUUAACAAACGACCUGCAUCCAAUAACUAAGUAAUACAACAAACAAAGAUGAAAAGGCAAAGAAAUAUAACAUAGAUGCUCAACAAAGAAAUCAAUAAGAAACAUACCAUGGUGUAAUCAAUCCAACAACACCAACGGGCUCCUUAAGAAUAUGACACUUAAAUGUCUCCAUAGGAAGUGACAAAGGAGCCUUUUGCUGUGCAUCUAAAGCUUCAGCGUGGUCUGCAAAGUACUCAAAACAAGAAGCAACGUCAUCCUGCACAACACAAUGUUAACAAGGAUAUAAGACAAUAUACAGAAAACUCAACCUGAAAAAACUCUAUAGUUCCUCAAACAUACAAUAUCCCAUGCUGCUUCAUCCAGGGGUUUUCCACAAUCAAGUGCCUCUAGUUUGGCCAAUUCAGUCUUUCUCUCUGUUAUCUGCAUGCAAAUGAAAAGGCAAGAAUGCAUAAUCAGCCUUGAAAUAGUUCUUUACUUUCAAAUUUAUCACUUCAUAGGACCUAAAUGAAUUUGAAUAAGAAGUUACUGCAUCCUGCCCAUCAUCAAUGGGACUACCCCAAGAAAAUCUUGCACCCAAAUGAAAACCAAGUAGUUUAUAUUCUAAUAGAUCAACAUAAAGCAAAUUUAGAGACCUUGGCAGCAAUGGCACGCAAAUACUUAGCACGAACAGCACCAGGCGCCUUAGCCCAAUCUGCCCCCUUAUUCCUGGCAAAGGCUCUUCGGGCAGCAUCCACAGCAAGCUCCACAUCUUCACCAGUGGCCGCCGGAAUAAGGCCUGACGCAGUUCGACAAUCCCCAGACAUCAGAUUCACAAAUCCCAACAUUCAAUUUCACUAACCCCUACUUUAAAUGCUGAAAAAGAAAACAAGGCAAAAAGGAAAGAAAAAAGAAAAUCGCUGAUGUUGUUUACUGUCACCUUAGUUCCAAUCAACGCAAAACCCCACUCGGCUACAAAAGAACUAGUACUACUGUAAUACUAUGCUCUAGUUCACUAACGCCCUAGAAACGAAAACCCCAUAUUCAAGUUUUCAGUCUUCUUACUCUCCCCACAUCCUCCCACCAACCAAACAAAGAAUUCAUGAAAGACCCACCUACCAAAAACUUUGAUCUUCGAUCAUCGAUAACAGAGAUAAUAAUUACAGAAAUGAACUACCGAUCGCACUAAAACAAAGUCUAAAUAAAUCUUGAGCACUGAAUCCAAUCAAAGCAUACACAUAAUCCAUAUACAAGGAGGGAGAGAGGGAAACAACCGAUGGUCUGCUCAGUGGCGGGAUUGAUGACGGGGAUGCGCCUCUUCGUGAUGGGUUCAACCCAUUUGCCGUCGAUGAAGAGCUGCCGACAUGGUAUUUUAGUCUCCAUCUCCACCCACUGCUCUAGUUGCGUGCCUCUGCCACUGUUGUGGGCAAUUUUUAUGUGGUAUGGGAAAGUGGGCAGAACAUAUUUUUUAUUUUCCAAAAUAAUUUACUUACUUAUUGGGUGAUUUUAGUAAUAGAUUGCAUCACAUCCUAGUAUGUUUUAGGCUGUCAUUUUCCCUAUUUUCUAGGUGAUUUUGGUCGUAGAUUGCUGCCCAUCCUUUAAACAUCUCCACGCCUCGUGAUUAAGGGACAUCAAGGUGGUAAAACAAAUAAAAUAAAUAUAGAAUAAUUUUUUCUAAAUUUAAGGAUCAUAAGAAAUAGGUUGCACAAAAUACUUCUUAAGAAAUAGGUUGGAUUAAGGUCGAUCAAAGUAAAAACUGUGGCACAGGUCUACCUGGAUGCUUCUUCAACUCGCAGAAGAUGAAGAGACUGCACAAGAUACAAAAUGGUAAUGGAUAAUUCUGUGGUUCAACUCCAUAUCGUUCAAUUUUCAAUACCAUCUACCCCUCAAGCUGACCUAUUAUGAUUUUUAGCCAGUGCAAACAGAAGAAAACAAACCAAAUAAUGACCUAGUUCUGCUGUUUUAUUGCAAACAGUAUAAGCCCCUACUCAACAACAAACUAGCUCUGCUAUUUUAUCACAUAUGCAAGAAGGAAGUUUGAACUUGAUGCAAAUGACUAAAAUAUCUUCCAUUUUAUAUGAUUAUCAUUAUGUUGGAGAUAUCAUUAUUGCCAAACCUGAUUCCUACAUUGCAUUUGCGGGUAAAAGAUAAUUGAACAAACAUUGAAAAAAAUAGUACUUGAAGGUUCACAAGUGGCUGAAUAUUUAUUCCAUAAAGGCUUAUUCGAUCCAAUCGUACCACAAAAUACUUUAAAGAGUGUUCUAAGUGAGUUAUUUUAGCUUCACACAUUCUUUCCUUUGAAUCCAAAAAAAAUCAAGUAGAGCAUUAAGUUCAAUUAUUUUAUUUGUGUUAAACAAGUAGUUAUUUUAUCAGAAUUAAAGUAAAAUCAGAAAAAUGGAGUUUUCUUUAGUGACAUAAAAUCGAAUCGUAGAAAGAAUCAAAUGUUGCAAAUAGUUUUUUUUUUUUUUUUCUCAGGAUUUUUUUUUUUUUUACCCAUAUUCCUGAUUAGUAAUUAGGAAACCUCUAUCAACAAGAUAAAAGAACCAAAUCUUCCUUCCCCGAAAUUAGAUUAGGCAAGGCAAAUAAAAAAUUUUCAUGCUCCCUUCUUAUGUAUAUAAGACUUAACUAUAGAAAAAAUACAAGCUAUAGAAAAUAUAAGGAAAUAUAGAUUAUAGAUAUAGAGUCUUGCCCCUACUCAACAACAAACUAGCUCUGCUAUUGUAUCGUUGUUGCAGUCAUCCUAACAUCAUCUUCACUAGAUGAUGGCCCUCUCAUGGUACUGCUUUCUUUCCCAAGAUAGACACAUCAGAGGUUUUCUGUUUCAGGGUCUGAAGAAAUUUUCACAGCUUUGAAGGAGACUGGUACUAGCCCCAUGGUUC